AGAAUCAACGCUGGCGGCGUGCCUAACACAUGCAAGUCGAACGAGAAAGUCCGCAAGGACAAGUAAAGUGGCGACCGGGUGAGUAACACGUGACUAACCUACCUUUAGUGGGGAUAACUCCGGGAAACCGGGGCUAAUACCGCAUAACAUCGCAAGAUCAAAGCAGCAAUGCGCUGGAAGAGGGGUCGCGGCUGAUUAGCUAGUUGGCGGGGUAAUGGCCCACCAAGGCGAAGAUCGGUA
rnacentral:rRNA from 1 species